GACGUAGGGCGCGAGCGUUGUCCGGAUUUAUUGGGCGUAAAGAGCUCGUAGGCGGCUUGUUGCGUCGACUGUGAAAACCCGCGGCUCAACCGUGUGGUCUGCAGUCGAUACGGGCAGGCUGGAGUUCGGUAGGGGAGACUGGAAUUCCUGGUGUAGCGGUGAAAUGCGCAGAGAUCCGGAGGAACACCAGCGGCGAAGGCGGCAUCCUGGACUGGUCCUGACACUCAGGAGCGAAAGCGUGGGGAGCGAUCCGG
rnacentral:rRNA from 1 species